rnacentral:lncRNA from 1 species
CAUAUGUAUAUAUAUGUGUAUAUAUGUGUGUAUAUACACACACACACACAAAAUACACACAAAAUACACACAAAAUACACACACAAGCAUAUGAGGGCCAGCUAGGAGAUAGUGUCUCUGUUUGCCCUGGCACCCUGCCCCAGGAAAUGUCCCAUUCUGGACACAUGAAAUCUUAGCCAAUCAUCAAAUUAUCAAGAUUGCUUCCCACUUCCCACCCUCUUCCCGCAUGGGCAGGGCCUUUAUGCAGAACUAAGCAUUUGCACGUAUCCAGUAGAGGGAAAUAGGACUUUCUGUGUCCUGUGUCUGAGCCUUGUGGAUCCCAGGAGAAUUUUCCUUUACAAGGAAGAUCCUGCUUCAGGAAGAUGGAUGGCAACCCCACCUUUAAGUUAUAUUUCUUUGACCUUUGUUGUUGUCGUCGUCGUUGUUUUUGUUAAUUUAGAGAUUUAGUUAUUUUCAGAGAAAAAGUGAUAACUGGAUAAUAUUGCAGUAAAAGCAGCUUGCGAUGUCACGGCUUGAUGCCAGCUGUUUGAACUGCUUUCUGAGUCAGUCUCCCUCUUUUGGCUUGGUGUUAAGGAAUCAACCAGCCUAUUAAGUGAUCAAAGAUAAAUAACCUGGUUAGAUAUGUCCGCCUUUGCAAUGCAGACUCUUCACUGAAAGAUGAGACUGUUCAAUGGCUUUAGAAACACUGCAUGUGUAGAGAAAGGCCUCCGUGUAGCAACCACCUGCUCACAGCUGCUAUUAACCCCAUAAUGACUGAAAUGACCCCUCCACUCUAUUUUUGUGUUGUUUUUGCACAGACUCCGGAAAAAGUGAAGGCUGCCAAUCCGAGUAGUACUCAAAUGUGAGGAACUGCUGGUCUUGGAUUUUUUUUUUUCCAUUAAACUCAGCUGAUCAUAUUGAUCAGUAGAUAAAACGUAAAUAGCUUCAACUUUUAAAGUCAAAUUGCAGUGAUUUUUCACUGUAUGAAACAAUGUCAGUGCUUUAUUUAAUAAUCCUCUCCUGUAAUCAUGGCUUUUGUCUACUUGCUUAUAUAUCACAUUGUCAAUUAUGCAUUUGUAAUUUUACAUAUAAUAUGCAUUCUUUGCCGGUUUUAUUAUAUAGGCUAUGGACCUCAUGUGCAUAUAGAAAGACAGAAAUCUAGCUCUAUCACAAGUUGCACAGAUGUUAUAUAAGCAUUAAGUAAGUGUAGAAUCUAGGACGGCUAAACUCAAGUUCACUCUGUGAUGUCCAGUGCAGAAUGUACAAUUAAUUAACUGGUGAUUUCCUCAUACUUUUGAUACUACUUGUACCUGUAUGUCUUUUAGAAAGACAUUGGUGGAGUCUGUAUCCCUUUUGUAUUUUUAAUACAAUAAUUGUACAUAUUGGUUAUAUUUUUGUUGAAAAUGGUAGAAAUGUACUAUGUUUAUGCUUCUACAUCCAGUUUGUACAAAGCUG